rnacentral:rRNA from 1 species
UACAGAGGUCCCGAGCGUUGUUCGGAUUCAUUGGGCGUAAAGGGCUCGUAGGCGGCCAACUAAGUCCGACGUGAAAUCCCAAGGCUUAACCUUGGAACUGCGUCGGAUACUGGAUGGCUUGAAUUCGGGAGAGGGAUGCAGAAUUCCAGGUGUAGCGGUGAAAUGCGUAGAUAUCUAGAGGAAUACCGGUGGCGAAGGCGGCAUCCUGGACCGACAUUGACGCUGAGGAGCGAAAGCUAGGGGAGCAAACGGG